GUCAUGCCACUCUCGGACUGUAAAUUUUCCCCUGAAAAGUCUGCUGUCAGAUGCAUUGGAGUUCCACUGAACGACUUAAAGCCCAUUUUGUGUGACAAGCAUAGCAGUGGUGACUCCUUUCCUUUCUGAUCUUCACCGAACCUCACUUCUUCACAUUUACCGAAAUGUCUACUUUGAACCACGGCACCUCUUUGAAUUUUCAGAUCUACCAUAUGGUGAUGGUAGAUUUCCUUUUCAUCUGUACUCUGAAGGAAUCCGAAACAGGCAUUUUUAAAGUCUAGGAAGGAAAUACAAAUCUAUGUGUCAAAAGAAUGAACAUAGAAAAUAACGUGUCCUGGUUAACAAAAGUUCUCAUUGUAAAGUGUUGUGCACAAGAUUAUGGAAUUUUAUGUGCCAUAAAUGAAGUUGUCUUGAUUUGUCUAAAACUACUUUUAAAAAUUACAUGUUACUCUAAUAAAGGUAUUUUUGAGAA